UUGUCUAGUCAUACUUGCCUGUGAUUUCACAUGAUUCACGCAGCAUUGUGUAGCCUGUGUGCGUCUGUAUGUGCAGUUCAUUUCAGAGUGGUUACUGUAUUUGAAGUUGGCGGUUGUAAAAGCAAGACCGAACAGAAGGUGGUCUUCAUCCGAAGAAUCAUCUGACGGUGAUGAACUUCUUCAAAGGAUCUUGAACAAACACAGAAGCAAGAGUAGAGCACUGCCAAACACUGAGUCUGCACCUGAACCUCAUGCAUUACCUGCUCCCAGACCCAAACACCAGAAUGUGCGCCAGAAUCCCACCAGCACACCACAAGACACAUUGAAAAGGAUGCGGCUGGAGUGUGGGUCUUUACCAGCCUUGGAAACACCACAGCUUAUGUUACCUUCAACAGUUGUUCUGUAUGUCUUGAGGAGAGGAGAUCGAACUCAGCAUUUAACAUGUACAUCUUUGUACCGUUCCGGAGUGGGAAAAAUGGCGUAUUUCUUGUCAACCUGCAGAAGUUGAUCGAUCUGGAGACAGAUGGACUUGGAGAAGAAUGAUAAUGAGGUUGUAAAACACAAUUCCUAUCGCCACCUAAUAUUAAAAGAUGAGUGUGAAGAUUAGGUAAAUUGGAAAACCAUUUAGUAAAAAACUGAUGGUCAUCCCAGUUUGGAGCGUAUACAUUAGCUAAAACAAUGGGAGUGUUGUACAGUUUACCAGUCACAAUGAUAUAACGUCCCUCUGAGUCUGCUAUCACUUAGAAGGAAGACAAUGGAACAUAUUUAUAUAUUAGUAUGGCUGUAGCCCUUGCCUUUCCAUUAAAUCUGGAGUGAAACAGCUGCCCCACCCUGCCCCUGCGUAUUCGAAAGUGAUCUCACGUAGGUAGGUGUGUCUCCUGCAGGAAUCCAGUGCCCAUUUUAAGUUGCUGAAGGUGUGAAAGCACUUUGUUGUGCUUAACUGGGUGUUUAAGGCCCUUGACUUUCCAACUGAUGAAUUGAACCGGGGACCCACUGGUAACCAUACCACUAGCGGUAGCCAUUGUGAAAUAGGGACAAUACAGAAAGUAAGAAUGUGGAUCUAAAUAAAGGCUUUACUAGUUUCACACUAGGGUUUGAUAGACAUUUAAACUCAGACCAUCUCAAAAAAUGAAGCGUCACGUGGCUCAUAAAGAGAAUAGAAAUAAAAGACAAAGCAAAAAGAGGUUAAAAAUAAAAUAGAGAAAGAGAAAAACAAAACCAUCCUUACCCACUCGCAACACCUCCCCAAAUGAGGCGAGAUCGCUACCCAUUCUUAUUAUUUACUGUCUGUGAAUGUAAUGGAAAAAGAAACAAUACUACAUCGCAUCAGGCCCCAGAGUCUAAAUCUGCAGUUAAACAUAGAGUAUAGAUUAAUAUAUACAUCCAGUGUGGACUGAAAAAGAAAAUAAAAAUGAGUGUUUAAAAAUAAAAUAAAAAGGAUAAUAACACCAGCAACAAUAAUACUAAAUAACAACAAUAAUAAUUAAUACAUACAUAUAUAAAAUAAUUAAAAAAAACAUCUCUCUGUCAGCAACAUACAAGUGAGCAAAACAGUUUGUCCCAGCCCUUGAUUAGAAAAAAAAACAGCUCUGUGUUGCCAGUGAUGUAGAAGUAAAUUAUCAAUAUUUCAGCAUUAUAAAACAAAGGAACUCACUUGCAAAUAAUUAUGUUUUAAAUUAGUAUAACAUCACUUAACUCUUCCCAAAUUAAAUAAAAGUUAAACCAUGGUAGGAAUAUAUGAAUAAGAACGACAAGUUCAAUUUAAGAAUAUAUACAGAUGUGUAUACUUCAACCCCACCCAGCAUUUUAAUGCUGCACAUCUUCCCUGUGUUAUGCCCCUAAUCUAAUAUAAAUGGAAUAGCCGGUAUGUGAAUAACCUAAGUGAGAAGAUGAAAACAUAACAAUAAUAGCCAUAAUAAUAAUCCUCAGCGGGCACCACAGAUAUACAAGACAAAACACAUUUGGUAGAUUCGGCUCAAUCUAAAAGUAUAAAGUAUCCUUCUGAAAUGUUAGGGAGGAGGAGGUCGAGGGAGAAAAAAUAUAUAUAUAUAUAUAUAUAUAUAUAUAUAUAUAUACACACACACACACACACACAGAUACAUUCCUCAAGAUAUGCUUUCAAUCAGUGGUGCUAAUAAAAUUAGUUAAACUAAAUUGAAAUUAACCUGCUAUUAUGGAAAAGCUUCUACCUACUCUCGUUCUCGUAUCCAAACAUCACUUUGCAGAGUCAUGCCCAGCCCCAGAUGGAGCGUAUGAAAAACAUAAUCUGCGUAAUGUACAAUUGUACAAUGUAAUUCCCAAACUUAGCCAGUAACAGAAACUGGACCCUUUUUUCUUUUUUUUCUUAAAUGCCACCUAUGAGCCUAACUUUGCCAUUGCAACGUUAUGUAAAAAGUGAAAUACACAAUAAGUAAAUAGAUACAAAUAAAAAUAAGACGGCAUUAAAUUCAGAGAUUGGGGUCCAACAUAAGCAGUUCAUGUAUUGUCGUUAAAUAAAAUGAAAGAAGAGUCUUAAGUCAUUGUUCCAGCGAGGAGUUGUUGUUGAAUCAAAGGCGUGUCAAAUCCAAACAAAACACAACGAUAUUUUCAUGCUGAAAAGAUCAGAGGGUUUUCUUUUCUCAAGAGUGAUUCAGCUGCCUGGACAGAUCUGAAGGACCGUGGGCUCCCCUCCAGCUCCAUCCGCAGCACAGCAAGAUGGCGCAAACUCUGUUGAGAGGCACAUUCUGGCCAUGUUGCAUAGCAUACAGGUGCAAGUACAACACGACACUCAUGUUCACCAGUCACUAAGCCAUGGCCAGAAUAUGCAAUCAACCCUGUUGCAGAAACCGGAUGCUGUUGAGUUCCUGCCACUAGAGGGCAUGCCCUCACUGGAUGCCCUGGAAGACAGACUAAUCCAGGAAGUGGAUCUGAAGGCGGCAAUUUAUUUAAUGUGCUUUUACACUGCAACACUAUGUAAAGCAACUGAAGUGGAGGCAGAAAAUUACAUCAAGGAGUGGUCUAAGGUUUUUAUGAAUAUGUUAAAAAGUGAUAUGCUACUGAAAAGUAUUAAUAAUAAAAAAUAAUUAAUCAGAUGUUGCAUUGAGUUUUCAUUGGUGGUAU